rnacentral:rRNA from 1 species
AUUGAACGCUGGCGGCAGGCCUAACACAUGCAAGUCGAACGAGUGGCGGACGGGUGAGUAAUGUCUGGGCAACUGCCUGAUGGAGGGGGAUAACUACUGGAAACGGUAGCUAAUACCGCAUACCAUCGGAUGUGCCCAGAUGGGAUGAGCUAGUAGGGUGGGUAACGGCUCACCUAGGCGAAGCUCCCGAGCUGGUCUGAGAGUGUGACCAGCCACACUGGAACUGAGACACGGUCCAGACUCCUACGGGAGUCAGCAGUGGGGAAUAUUGCACAAUGGGCGCAAGCCUGAUUGAGCCAUGCCGCGUGUAUGAAGAAGGCCUUCGGGUUGUAAAGUACUGUCAUCGGGGAGGCGUUACCCUCAGAAGAAGCACCGGCUAACUCCGUGCCAGCAGCCGCGGUAAUUC